rnacentral:rRNA from 1 species
CAGUAGCCCGGGAAUACGUAGGGUGCGAGCGUUAAUCGGAAUUACUGGGCGUAAAGCGUGCGCAGGCGGUUCGUUAAGACAGAUGUGAAAUCCCCGGGCUUAACCUGGGAACUGCAUUUGUGACUGGCGAGCUAGAGUAUGGCAGAGGGGGGUAGAAUUCCACGUGUAGCAGUGAAAUGCGUAGAGAUGUGGAGGAAUACCGAUGGCGAAGGCAGCCCCCUGGGCCAAUACUGACGCUCAUGCACGAAAGCGUGGGGAGCAAACAGGAUUAGAUACCCCGGUAGUCCCUGUCUCUUAUACA